GACGAACGCUGGCGGCGUGCUUAACACAUGCAAGUCGAACGGAAAGGCCCUGCUUUUGUGGGGUGCUCGAGUGGCGAACGGGUGAGUAACACGUGAGUAACCUGCCCUUGACUUUGGGAUAACUUCAGGAAACUGGGGCUAAUACCGGAUAGGAGCUCCUGCUGCAUGGUGGGGGUUGGAAAGUUUCGGCGGUUGGGGAUGGACUCGCGGCUUAUCAGCUUGUCGGUGGGGUAGUGGCUUACCUAGGCUUUGACGGGUAGCCGGCCUGAGAGGGUGACCGGCCACAUUGGGACUGAGAUACGGCCCAGACUCCUACGGGAGGCAGCAGUGGGGAAUAUUGCACAAUGGGCGGAAGCCUGAUGCAGCAACGCCGCGUGCGGGAUGACGGCCUUCGGGUUGUAAACCGCUUUCGCCUGUGACGAAGCGUGAGUGACGGUAAUGGGUAAAGAAGCACCGGCUAACUACGUG
rnacentral:rRNA from 1 species